GCGAAACAUUGUGUAUGUGAUAGGCCACGUCUUUGUUCAUUAUUUGUCUAUUGAAAAACUUAUUUAAUUAGUAACCUAUGUAUUACCUAAACGUUGUGUGACUUGAAAACAUGGUAAGCUUUGUGAACAACUACCACUACAAUGAUAUUGGUCAUGGUUUUGAAUUGUAAUAUCCUGGCAAUUAUGGCUUACUUCAUUAUCAAUGUAAUUAGUGCCGGCGGCCAGUUCCCAUGAGGAUAAGCAAUUAACACGCCAAUCAAUAAGAUUGAUAAUUAUUGGACAAGCUUACAUAAUUAUUACUUAUUAGAAAUUUCGUCCUUAUUAGAAAAAUCUGAUUGGAGUUCCGGAGCCUGUAAUUUAAGCGCUAAAGACCCUUAAAGACUUCUUAAAAAUUCGCAAAAGCACCUUUAUACAUAUUUUACACUACCGGAUUUGAGGCAAACGAACCCAAAAGUCGAUUUACUGGAUUCAUUACAUUAUGUUCCUGUUUUUUUUAGAAACUUAUGAUAAAUGAUAGUCAAAUGGUUAAUAACUAAAUAAAUAUUAUAGGCACAUUUUAACACAAAUUGACUAAGCCCCAUGCGUGCGCGCGUUAAUGCGUGGUACCUAACUACCUAGCACCUGAUUUUUAUACGUAGUAUUUAUUACUGAAUUUUAGACGUGCAAUAAAAUAUAUAGGAUUAUUAAUGUGACCGGUGUAGAUUGAUAUAAUAUAAAGCACGUUAUCAGGUCAGCAAAUAUAUACAUAAUUUGACUCUAAAUUCAUUCGUUUCGUGCGUUCGUUUUUCAGUGCAAAAUUAAAACUCUUGGAGGCCUACCUAGCAAGCUUGAAUGAAAGCUUGCUUUCAGAUUCGUAACAAAAUAAUACAAAAUAAGCCUCCUGGGACUAGAGGGGUUCAGGAAGACGAUACUUUAUAUUAAGGGUAGAAUAGAUGGUAUACGACAUCCAGAAGAUGCUUUCUUUGUAAUAUCGGACUUAUCAAGUGAAACCUUCAAAGAGCCACCCCUUAAGAGAGUUUGAAUAAUCCCUUGAUUAGAGGAAAACAAUAUAUCCCAUACUUUAGCAAAUUGUGUUGCCAGAGCUCAACGAGCGUGCGGAGUGUUAGGGUCGGCAACGCGCAUGUAACUUCUCUGGAUUUGCGUACGGAUAGGCGUACAUAGGCUACGGUGAUUGCUUACCAUUAGGCGGGCCGUAUGCUUAUUUGUCACCGACGUAGUAUAUUAAAAAAAUACAUUGCACGAUUUAGAGAAAAAUAAAAUUAGUGCUUAAGACAUUUUUAUGUCUUCGAUUCGGUCGCUCCCUGAGAUUUUGCUCUUUCCCUAGACAUGUAGUCCUAAACACUUACAUUGCUCAUUGGUUAAACCAGCACUGAUUUAGCGCGUUGCUUAAAAUAUGUACAUACCUAAGAAAUUAGCACCCGUUGAACCUUUUCCCAUGACAAGAUCGCGUUUUUUACAGAUACAGUUUUCUACAGGAUCCUGUUUAGUAGUGCAUGUAUUUAUAUACUAGCGUUCAUAAGAGCAUCCCGUUUGCAGUGUCCGGCAAAAAACUGGUCUAGAUACCAUUGUGUAUUUCCACUAGAUUCCUGCCACUAUGCUCUUCUAUUUCUGUACUGCAAACACAGGGUGAAAAAUACUGUGUGUGAACACAUCAGAGUCAGUUAAAAAACCGUUCCCGCAGAACUGAACCUGCGUGGGAAAGAGCUUUUGCAAAAUUAGCCCGACUGGGAACAGUACUCUUGACUUGCACAGUAAACUGAGCAAUCAUUUAUUCAAGUCACAACUGAUAUAAGUGACAUAAUAAUCCACUUGCAUGUAAAUCUACAAAUGAGACGGAUUACUUCUUCGAACGCCCGUGGGACCGCCGCCACAAUGUACUUAAACCGCGCGUUGUUGCGCGCAUAAUCAUCUUCCUUGGAAUGAUCUCAAUCAUUAUCUCAUUUUCAGCACGCUUACCUGUCAUUAAAUUGUCUGUUUCCUUGUGGUAUAUAAGGAUGGUUGGCCAGAGUAGUAAGCCAUCGAUCAGUCUGCAGCUGAGUUUAUCACUUGUGAUUGUUAAGCAGUAAGCUACUCGGAUAAAUAUGGCAAAACUCGUUAUCCUGUUCUCCGUGCUGAUGCUGGCGGCCCUGGCCGCCGCCGGUGACGACGCGACCACGCCCGCCGACCCCACCACCACCGUCGCCCCCAGCAACGACACCGCGCCCGCCGCCGCCGACGCUGCCCUCGCCGCCGACGCCAACCAACCGCUUAACCAGACGCCUGAAACUGCAAACAGUGAAAAGCAAGGCAGCAGAUAGACUGGACUCUUACUUUUGACGUUAUACUUAACGGUUUUUUGGAUUGCCACUUCUGCAUUUGGUUCAAUUUAGAUUACUAACAUAUUAAAAAGUCCCUAAAGCCAAGACUUUUUUACGGAAAAAGUCAAUAUUUUUAUUUCGUGGCCCAUAAUUCUAAUUACUUCUUAGAUCUUACGAUUAAGAUUUUCUUUAAUAAUGUUAGUACGAAAUUUUAAAAUUAAUUUCUCCAUUAUUUCUCAAUUCAUUAAUUUUCUUUGUGAUAUUGAGGUAUUUAAUCCCUUUUAAGGAGCUGUGGCAUUUAAAGGAUCUGUUUCAUACCUCUCAAGACUGUCAUCGCUCAUAUUCAAACUAUCGUUAGAAGAUUGUCUUAUGAGUUAACUAAAAUUAACAUAAAGGCUUGUUUGUUUUAUGAAAGUAAGUAACGCACAUUUUCUGAACGAAAUUGUAUUAGAACACUCAUUAUUCAUUCAUCUGAAGAAACCAUCAUUAAAACUCAUUAUUUAAAGAAAUCAUCAACCAGAUAAAAAAAAAUAGCUUUAUAAAUAAAUUAUUGAUAACUCUUA